GGGAAAGGUUAUCAGGAGGAUGACAAGGAGGAAAUAAAGAACAUAUUGGGAGUCCAUUCUGAAGCGCUGAGUGAAAGAUACCUCGGACUACCAACACUGGUUGGGAAGUCUAAGGAGGGUACUUUCAGAUAUGUGACAGAGAGUUCGAAAGGCAAGGUUGGUGGAUGGAAGGGGCAAGGACUAUCGAAAGCUGCGAGAGAAGUGUUGAUCAAAUCUGGGUUACAAGCUGUACCCACUUUCACCAUGAGUUGUUUUCAGCUCACGAAGAAGAUGUGCCGGAACCUGACCUCAAUCUCUUCAAAAUUC
rnacentral:rRNA from 1 species